rnacentral:tRNA from 1 species
UCGUAGCUCAUUUAGGUAGAGCAGUUGCUCGUCACGCAAUUGGUAGCGGGUUCAAAUCCCGCCGGGUGAA